rnacentral:tRNA from 1 species
GGAUUGUGGCUCAACGGUAGAGCACUCGCCUAGCACGUGUGAGGCCCUGGGUUCAAUCCUCAGCACCA